rnacentral:lncRNA from 1 species
UUUGCCACUUUAAAUUCACGGCAACUGAAGCAGAAGUUCCUGCUGCGGAGCUACAAGGAGGUGGAAUAAAAGGAGGGGAAAAGAGAGCAAGUGUUGGGAUAUUGUCCUGAGAUUUCUGCGAAGAUGGAUGAAUUUUAUCUUCAACAUAUAAUGGAUAAGAAGAAAAUGAAUAAACAGAUGUCUUCAGACUGCAGUACACCACUAGUGGAAAUGCCUUUGGUCCUCCAGAUAUUGCUAGCAGAGGGUCAAACGGCAAGCGAGCUGAGCAAGUCGAACUCAAACUGCUCUAAAGAGACCUCAAGAAGUCAUCUGCGUUGGUCUGACUACCUCGAAGAAUGAUGAAUUAUACUUGAAUCUUGCUAACAGAUGUCCUCUUGGAAGACCUUAAAUGAUGGUGACUCCUCAGACAGUCUAUUCCAAUGUUAUCACUAUCACAGUGUUAUCGCUAGAAAGCUUCUAAUGUSUAACAUAUAUCCUCCUUUCUUCAACUGAAACCCAUUAUAG